rnacentral:misc_RNA from 1 species
UCCCGGUUAACCCGGGCAGUCUCAUUAGAGUUCCCACCUCGCGUGUUGGCAACUAAUGAUAAGGGUUGCGCUCGUUGCGGGACUUAACCCAACACCUCACGGCACGAGCUGACGACAGCCAUGCAGCACCUACUUAGCAGUCCUUGCGGAAAAUACUAUCUCUAGUAUCGUCUCCUAAAUUUCAAACCUGGGUAAGGUUCUUCGCGUUGCAUCGAAUUAAACCACAUGCUCCACUGCUUGUGCGGGCCCCCGUCAAUUCUUUUGAGUUUCACCCUUGCGAGCGUACUCCUCAGGCGGUAUACUUAUCGCGUUAGCUUCGACACAGCCAGGGUUGAGCCUAGCUACAUCAAGUAUACAUCGUUUACGGCAAGGACUAC